UUGUCUGUAGCUCAGAGGUAGAGCAUUAGUCUUCUAAACUAUUGGUCGAGAGUUCGAUUCUCUCCAGACAAU
rfam:Monosiga brevicollis mitochondrion, complete genome.